UAGGGAAUCUUCGGCAAUGGGGGGAACCCUGACCGAGCAACGCCGCGUGAGUGAAUAAGGUUUUCGGAUCGUAAAUCUCUGUUGUUAAGGAAGAACGAGUGUGAGAAUGGAAAGUUCAUACUGUGACGGUACUUAACCAGAAAGGGACGGCUAACUACGUGCCAGCAGCCGCGGUAAUACGUAGGUCCCGAGCGUUGUCCGGAUUUAUUGGGCGUAAAGCGAGCGCAGGCGGUUAGAUAAGUCUGAAGUUAAAGGCAGUGGCUCAACCAUUGUAGGCUUUGGAAACUGUUUAACUUGAGUGCAGAAGGGGAGAGUGGAAUUCCAUGUGUAGCGGUGAAAUGCGUAGAUAUAUGGAGGAACACCGGUGACGAAAGCGGCUCUCUGGUCUGUAACUGACGCUGAGGCUCGAAAGCGUGGGGAGCGAACAGG
rnacentral:rRNA from 1 species